GCAAACUUGGUCAUUUAGAGGAAGUAAAAGUCGUAACAAGGUUUCCGUAGGUGAACCUGCGGAAGGAUCAUUAACAAGCCGUGGGGGUCAACCUCCAAAAGAGGAUUGAUCUCACACCUGGCCACCCUUGUUUACCUUAACCUGUUGCUUUGGUGGGCCUGCCGUAAGGCUGCCGGGAAGCUUUUAAAAGUUUUCGGGCUAGUGCUCACCAAAGUCUUAUCGAACUCUGAGAUGAUAUUUAGUUGCAGUCUGAGUAUGCAAGUGCAAAAAUUUGUUUAAAACUUUCAACAACGGAUCUCUUGGUUCUGGCAUCGAUGAAGAACGCAGC
rnacentral:misc_RNA from 1 species